CAAGAGUUUAGUUUAUUUUGACAGCGUUUCAGAAUAUCAUACAGGUAAACAAGAUUUUUGCAAAAGUUAAUAUAUUCAUAGUGUUGCAUUUCAUAAAAAUAGUUGCUCCACUUACAGUCUUUGUGACCAUCAAUAGUACACCGAGUCAUAUUUAUAGAGAUAUUUGUUCAGGGUCUACACACUGCUAUUACACUACACAGUGAUACCGAGCCGCUCAGGUUGUCGGGGUUUAUAUUGUGGUGCGAAAGCGUGUCUUUGUUGUUCUCAAACACACACUUUAACACACCCCUAGGUUUUUUUUUUCUUUUUUAAAUUUCCCUAGAAAACUACUUACAGUUUGACUCGAUGGAGACAGCUCAGAUGUGGAAAGCAGUGAUUUGUGCAAAGGCAGAGCAAAAAAAGACACACGUUUCCCUGCUUCUGCUCAAAUCUGAAGUCACAAAAUAAAGGAGUAGUCCAACUAAAUGGGUGUGAUGUGACGGUGUGUAACUGAGGCAUUUUACAAGUGACUGAAAAAGCUCAAUUGUUUGCUCCCGGCUGGUGAUUCCUCCAUUCCUCCCAUUUCAAACCCUCUGUGUUGGAUUGUGUUUUUAAGUCAGUCUGCUUAGUGCGUGUGUAAUUACGGAUUACAACGGCAAACAUAAUGACUUGUGUCCCUCUGCUCACUCAAACACUAUCAGUAUGUCCCUCAGCAGAAGAAGGAAAGGAGGUUUUUUGUUUUUUUCUUAGGCUCUUUGAUUCUCAUUCAGAGAAAAAUACUCAAAAUUAACAGUUUGCUAGAUUCCUCCCAUUCAACAGCCAUUCAGUGACUCAAAGAAUGCACUGCAGCCCUGUCAAGCUUUGGAUUCAUGCAGAGUGUGGUGUGCUUACUGUUUGGCACGUUUAAGGGUGGGUGAUAUCUCGGUGCAGUUAUUUAGCCUCAAAACUAAAAACAAUAGCAAAAGGAAUUAAUGCUUUAUCUGUAAUCCUUUGCAGGGUGACUUACAGUGUUGGGGAACAGAGAACUACAUGUAACUAAAUUAGUAUUUUUAACAUUAUUUUAUUAUUAUAGCUUGUUGGCAGUUGAACAUUUGUUUUGAUGCAGUGAUUCAUGUAAUCCAAUUACAUGAGGGUUUUUCACUACAGAAACUACAAAUAAAUGUUCCAUAAAUGCAAUGAAAUAGUCCCACCCAUUUUUCUGUCAGUCUGUGGGUUGAUCACAGGGAUUUUGGUUAUUUUGUAGGGCUUUUCGGUUUCAUUUAGUAUUACCGAGUUUUUAAUUCAAAGGUCUUUUCUGAAUAUUUUGAUGGAGGUAUCUUGAGAUUUUAUUAAUUUAUUAACUCAAGAUUAGGAUUAACGUUAGUCCUACUUUAGUUAUAACUUAAAAUGAAAAAUAAAACUGAACUGUUGAUUGUUAUAAACAGCGACGGCUUUGGCUGCGCACUAGGCUCACAUUUAAGACCCACACUGAACACCUCUCCAGACUAUAAAAGUGUGGAUGACACUUUUAUGCAUGCACAAUUUAAAAUGGGAAUUUAUUGCAGUCUGGAAAUAAACCAAGAUGUUUUUAUUGUCAAAAGGAAAGAGGGGACUUUUUUAGCUUUUUUUUUUUUACUGUAAUCUACUGAAUACCAGCUACCGUUGCUUAUUUUUAGACUCCAGUACAUUUUUUUCUGGCCACUUUAUGAGUGUGCAGCUAUCUGAACAUAACACUGACAUACUGGUAUUAUGACUUUAAUGCUGUUGUGGCUAACAGGCUAGCAAACAGCUUUGUACACACGCAUAUGCAUAUUUGAC
ensembl:lncRNA